GGCGAUCUGCUGGAACUCAACUGACGCUAAGGCGCGAAAGCGUGGGGAGCAAACAGGAUUAGAUACCCUGGUAGUCCACGCCCUAAACGAUGUAUGCUAGUUGUUGGGGUGCUAGUCAUCUCAGUAAUGCAGCUAACGCAUUAAGCAUACCGCCUGGGGAGUACGGUCGCAAGAUUAAAACUCAAAGGAAUAGACGGGGACCCGCACAAGCGGUGGAGCAUGUGGUUUAAUUCGAAGAUACGCGAAGAACCUUACCUAGGCUUGAUAUCCAACAAAUUCUGUAGAGAUACGGAAGUGCUAGCUUGCUAGAAUGUUGAGACAGGUGCUGCACGGCUGUCGUCAGCUCGUGUCGUGAGAUGUUGGGUUAAGUCCCGCAACGAGCGCAACCCUCGUCCUUAGUUGCUAACGAUUCGGUCGAGCACUCUAAGGAGACUGCCUUCGUAAGGAGGAGGAAGGUGGGGACGACGUCAAGUCAUCAUGGCCCUUACGCCUAGGGCGACACACGUGCUACAAUGGCAUAUACAAUGAGACGCAAUACCGCGAGGUGGAGCAAAUCUAUAAAAUAUGUCCCAGUUCGGAUUGUUCUCUGCAACUCGAGAGCAUGAAGCCGGAAUCGCUAGUAAUCGCAAAUCAGCCAUGUUGCGGUGAAUACGUUCCCGGGUCUUGUACUCACCGCCCGUCACACCAUGGGAGUUGAUUUCACUCGAAGUGGAAAUACUAAACUAGUUAUCCCCCACAGUGGAAUCAGCGACUGGGGUGAAGUCGUAACAAGGUAACCGUAGGAGAACCUGCGGUUGGAUCACCUCCUUUCUA
rnacentral:rRNA from 1 species